GACGAACGCUGGCGGCGUGCUUAACACAUGCAAGUCGAACGAUGAUGCCCAGCUUGCUGGGUGGAUUAGUGGCGAACGGGUGAGUAACACGUGAGCAACCUGCCCCGGACUCUGGGAUAAGCGCUGGAACCGGCGUCUAAUACCGGAUACGAGAUUCCACCGCAUGGUGAGUUUCUGGAAAGAUUUUUUGGUCUGGGAUGGGCUCACGGCCUAUCAGCUUGUUGGUGAGGUAAUGGCUCACCAAGGCGUCGACGGGUAGCGGGUCUUAUGAGGAUGAUCAGCCACAUGGGCACUGGGACACGGGCCCAACUCCUACGGGAGGCAGCAGUAAGGAAUAUUGCGCAAUGGGGGAAACCCUGACGCAGCGACGCCGCGUGCGGGAUGAAGGCCUUCGGGUUGUAAACCGCUUUUGUAGGGGACGAAUUUUGACGGUACUCUACGAAUAAGAGGUUGCUAACUCUGUGCCAGCCGCCGCAGUAA
rnacentral:rRNA from 1 species